AUGCAACUGACGAGUUCCAAAUAGGACAAAACGCGCGUUUGGGAU
rnacentral:hammerhead_ribozyme from 1 species